GGGGGUAAAGCUCUGGGCUAGAGCUUUUGACUGUAGAGCAAGAGGUCCCUCGCUCAGAUCCAGGUUCUCCAU
rnacentral:tRNA from 1 species